GUGAAUGCUGUGUAGUGUAAUUGUUAAGUUUGGAACUGCGAAUGGCUCAUUAUAUCAGUUAUAGUUUAUUUGGUGAAGUGUACUACUUGGAUAACCGUAGUAAUUCUAGGGCUAAUACAUGAGAAAGUCCUCUGGUGAGGUGUGUUUAUUAGAAUGAAAACCAUAUGCUUCGGCAUGAUAGUGAGUAAUAGUAACCUAUCGUAUCGCAUGCUUAAUGUAGCGAUGAGUCUUUCAAGUUUCUGCCCUAUCAGCUUUCGAUGGUAGUAUAUGGGCCUACCAUGGCAGUAACGGGUAACGAAGAA
rnacentral:rRNA from 1 species